GGACACUCUGAUCCAAUGGUCACGAACACAUCUCCCUCUGAGUACGGGGGCAUCCAUUUCAGGGCUUUUGGGGGUCCUUGGCAUGGAUAAGCCUCAUGGUUUUUUUCUCUUCUUAGUUCUGCUUUCAAGCCGUAAGAAAGAUGGAAGAACUUAGUUCCCUGUAGCCCACACAGCAGAAAAGAGGGAGGGAAGGGUGCCCAAGCAGGAACUGCAGGGCUGAGCAGUCACAUGACAGGCAAACUGGCUUUCUGGCAAGAAAGCUCUGCCCUGGGAUGCAGAGGCGGCUUUGUGUGCAGAUCGGGGGCACCAGGAGGGCUCCUCGCGGGCAGUCCUGGGGCAUCAGAGGGCACUUGGGGGCUGCUAGGGAGGAAAUGUCAACAUUUGGGACCUGGAUGGUGUGUGUGUGUGUGUGUGUGUGUGUGUGUGUGUGUGAGAGAGAGAGAGAGAGAGAGAGCAAGAGAAAUACCCAUGAGAUCUCCAGGGGUUUGUGAUGGGGUUUUUCAGGGGCAAGUGAGGACUCUUCGGAGAAGCAUUUGUCCUCAGUGAGCCAAGCCCGGGAGGGGACAGGCUGCCGUGAUCCCUGGGACUCCCCUGCUGCCCAACCUGGCCUGCAGCCUCAGUCAAGCACAGCACCUGCCAAGAGCCUAGUCGCCUGUGACUGUCAGACCUGGGAGUGGGGGCUGACGUGGCUCCAGAGGAGAUUCAGGCAGCUGGCUGAAACCUGCUCCUGUGACGCUGCCCUUGCUCCUCCUCCCCUCACAGCCUCCCCUUCCCUGCUGCAGUCUUCUAGCCCCCCAACCGGGCCCAGACGGGGGUGAGGGGGUGGGCUGUCUGGGUAGUCACGUGAUGGGCAGAGGCCAACCGCUGAUGCCAGUGGAGGGGUGGGCGUUCCCCGCCAGCCCCUGGCUUUGGAGGAGGAGGAAUGAAGAAAGCUCGCCUCCCUCGCAGACCAGUUUCUCCUGUUCCCUCCUCCAAACGGCCAGGAUUUCCCAUCCUGUCCCUCCAGUAUUGACCUUCCCGUCUCCUGGGAGGGCUUGGUGCCUCCAGCUGCCCGUCAGCCUAUGGGCCUUUCUUGAGGCCGGAAGGGCCCUCAGCAGCAGCGCAGGGAGAAACAUGAGCAGCCUGGAGGUUUCCAAGUGGAGAAAGGACAGAUUGUUUCCAAGCAGCCAGCUGCCCUGCCUGUCCCGAUGACCUUUCUCCCGUCAUCACUUCCCAGCCUGAACUACUCUGCCGGUCUCCUCCUGUUUACCAAGUCCAAGCUCGCUCUGCUGGCUGCACAAUAGACCAAUGAAUCUGAGACAGGUGUUGAGACAAGGAAGAGACUUUAAACGGGGAGCUGGCAGGCUCCAAAAAGAUGGCAAGCUAGUGCCUUAAAAUAACCAUCUUAUUGGGGUCUGGAUGCCAGAUUCUUUUAUAGAUCAGAGAGAAACAAGCAAUGAGGAACCAAAGUCAAAAGGCAGUGGGGAAGUAAAGUGAAAGGGUCUUCAGACUUGCAAAACAUCUCUAAGGGAAUGGCCAGCCUUUGGAAGGGAUGUGCUAAUCUCUUCUAUUCACAGGUGGGGAGGGACAAACCAUCUCUCUAAGAGCUGAACAAAGACACUUUAGUUUAUAGUCAAGCAGAGGGGCAGGGUCCUCCAGGCAAGCCACGGAGUGUGAUUAUAGAAAUAAAAGCGAUGAAAAGCAAGUCAAAGAAACAGUUUCCAACAUGGAGUCGGAAUUGGCUUCCUCCCUGCAACAACCCCACGCCAGCCUCCAUCCAAGAAGCAGUGAUUCUCCAUCUGAGAUACACCAUCAGUGCGUCUUCUCCAUGACAAAGCUCCUGUUUUUCCUCUUUCUGGGAGAGCUGUAACUCUGGGAGAGUUACAUAACAAACCACUAAAAUCCACUCCUUCCAUCAAAGAGCUGUGUGAUUUCUUCUUUCUUCCCACCAGGAUUCUCUCUUCCUUCUUUUCUUUUAACAAAUAGGCACGGUGCUAGGAAUGCGAGGAAAUGCAACAAAUGAUGCUUAUAAAGAAAUCUUUUUGGCUGUGCUGGGGUUUGCUGCUGCAUUUGGGCUUUCUCUAGUUGCGGUGAGAAGGGGCUACUCUCUAGCUGUGAUGGGCGGGCUUCUCAUUGUGAUGGCUUCUCUUGUUGCAGAGCGUGGGGCUCUAGAGUGCAGACUCAGUAGUUGUGACACGUAGGCUUAGUGGCUCUGCAGCAUGUGGGAUCUUCCUGGACCAGGAGUCAAACCCAUAUCCCCUGCACCGACAUGCAGAUUCUUAGCCUCUGGAUCACCAGAGAAGUCCCACAAAUGACGUUGUUAAAUCUCGCCAGAGGCUUUAGUCCUUAUAAGACCAAGGGGGACAGAAGCUUGGCUUCUGUGUCUCUGCGUCCCCACAAGGUAGCACAGAGCCCAC
ensembl:lincRNA